CCGAAGAAGGGAGUUAAGAAGGUGGAAAGUAAGAGACGCGGUGGUAGCACAGCAGCAGCACCCGACUCUAAGCGUCAACGUACUACUAGGCAGAAAUCCAAAUCUGAGUCGGAAAGCACCAAACUUCGAGGGCACGUUCCACUUUCCUCUCCCCCAUCUGAUACGCCCAUCGAUGCUCCAAAGGAACGGAUGUUGCAGGAUGCCGAUAUAAAUAAAGGUAGGGCACAUUCAUUCGGGAAUCCAAUAGGGGCGAACAAAGUAAUUACAAGUGUCCUCACAAGUGAGCAGCUCGAAAAGUAUAGACAAACAUGUUUUGGACACUUACUUGACAUGAAGAACCUCCGGUUCUCUGGUCAGUUAGUGCAUCACCUGCUUUGCAGACAAGUUGAGUCCAACAAUCCAGAAGUACUGGAGUUUAACUUCGGCGGAUCUGCAGUGCGGUUUAUGAAGUGGGAAUUCGCACUCAUUAGUGGGUUAAAGUUUUGUAGGUACCCUUCGAUGUAUGAUAUGCAAAUUUCCAAAGGAAAUGAGCUGCGCACGAGGUUGCUAGAUGACAGGAGUGACUUGAAACCGCCCGAACUGGAACGACUAUUCAAGGAUACACUUUUUGUGGAUGAUUGGGAUGCUGUUAGAAUUGUGUUACUAUAUUUCUUAGUUCAUGGUGUACUCGGAAUGGAUCCGAAGGUUCAAAUAAAAAAAAAAAUUCAUUGAUUUGGUUGCUGAUCUCGACGUAUUUAAUUCCUACCCUUGGGGCAUUCUGAGCUACAAGGAGACGAUCAACUCAUUCCACAAUGCAUUCCAGCUACGAGGACGAGGACGUGCAGUAAAGAAUAUAUCACAGUAUUAUGACCUAAAAGGUUUUCCAUUGGUGUUUCAGGUGUGGGGGUUUGAAGCAAUCCCUGAUUUUGGUAACCAAUUUGCCGACCGGUUGGAAACCCGUUGUCCGAGGAUCCUUGGAUGGCAUACUCCAAGGCAACCGAACCAUUUUGCUGUCCAUAAUUGGUUCUCCUCCAAUAGCAAUUAUGUUGUGCACUGGACGUUAGAUGCUACCGAUGAGGAGAAGACUAU